rnacentral:rRNA from 1 species
UGGUGGAGCGAUUUGUCUGGUCAAUUCCGAUAAUAAACGAGACUAGCCUACUAAAUAGUUCGAGGACCCCCACAAAGGGGUCCCGCUUAUACUUCUUGGAGGGACAGGUGGCGUUAGCCACACGAGAUUGAGCAAUAACA